GGGGAGGCUGUCUUCAAGACACACUUCAAGGAAGGGCUCUAUGCAGAGCCUUGGGCUUUUUACCUCACCAGAAGGAGGAUAAUUUAUAGAUAAUCUCUGAGAGGAGGCUGUCUUCAAGACACACUUCAAGGAAGGGCUCUAUGCAGAGCCUUGGGCUUUUUACCUCACCAGAAGGAGGAUAAUUGAGAAUUCAUCUCUGAGGGGAGGCUGUCUUCAAGACACACUGCAAGGAAGGGCUCUAUGCUCAGCCUUGGGCUUUACCUCACCAGAAGGAGGAUGAUUUAUAGAUAAUCUCUGAGGGGAGGCUGUCUUCAAGACACACUGCAAGGAAGGGCUCUAUGCUCGGCUUUGGUCUUUACCUCACCAGAAUAAUAAUUGUCAAUCUGCCUCAGGAAAAGGAGGAAACCACUUAAGCCAUGCUACUCUGCUAGGAUAUUGCUUUAAAGAAAUUCUUUGUUGGAGAAUGGCAGGAAUAUGGUCUUCAAGACCCAUUCCAAAAACUAGUUUCUGAGGGGAAGUGGAGUUUCUGAGUGGGGAGUUCAUCUCUCUGCUUGGGCUUCAUCCUGCCAAAAGAACUCAAACAAACCCCCUCUGAGGAUGCUGCAGCCGUGCUGACGUGUACAGAAGCCCGGCCACCUCACUGCCCACAUUUAUAGCAUUUUGUCUGCAGAGGGCAAAACGCGACAGAUUCUCCCCGUCCUCAGAACACUGGGGCGCCACAGUCUUCUGCAUCACGGUGAAAACCUGUCCACUAUUAGAGCGUUCUUUCUCUCUGCAUACAAAUGCUAUAAAUGUGGACAGCACAAGGCCGGACUUCUGAGCGCAACGGCACAGGGGCUGCAGCAGAGAAUUCCAUGAGGCCAGGGGCUGUGUAACUACAGACUGGCCAAUUUAGUCUGAGAAAACUGGGUGUGACUGAGUUUUUUUAAAUUCUCCUGACAGUUGUGUAAGGCAGCAUAAUUCCUAACAUAGUGGCUGGCUUGUAUGGAACACCCUCCAUGCGCUUUAGAAGCUUGAGGCUUCUAGAUAUUUGCAACACCUUUCUGAGGCAACAUAGUCUCCAGUUUUGCAGCAGGCAUGUAUGGAACAUGCUUCAUGCAUGUUAGAAGCUCCAGGCUUCUUAAAAUGCUGGCUCUGAGCAGGAAAUUAGAAAGACAAUAAACACAAUGCAGUAUAAUUGUAUAUUAUACAAUUGAUGGAACAGAACAACAUGCUUCAUGCAUGUUAGAAGCUUCAGGCUUCUUGAUUCUCCAGACAACUCUACAUACACUCUAAGAUGGUGGCAGCCUUUAAUGGAAUAUGCUAGUGUGGUGUAGUAGUUAGAGUGCUGGACUAUGACCGGGGAGACCUGAGUUCAAAUCCCCAAUCAGCCAUGAUACUUUCUGGGUGACUCUGGGCCAGUCAUUUCUCCCUCAGCCUAGACACAGGGUUGUUGUGAAAGAGAAACUUAAGUAUGUAGUACACUGCUCUGGGCUCCUUGGAGGAAGAGCGGGAUAUCAAUUUAAUAAUAAUGAUGAUAAUGCGUGUUCCAUUCUCUCCUCUCGACAACGCUACGUGGCAAAUUUGUCAAGAAGAAACAGAGUCGGCCCAUGUGUCAAUGACCUCCGUGCCUGAGUGGUGCUUUCGGAUCAUUUUUCCUCCCAGAAGGCCAGUGUGGCAGCUUCCAAGAAAGAACGCAAGGAGAGCACGUCAUACGAGCCAAGAAGAAAUUGAAAGUCCCCAACCUCCCGCAUGAGAAACCAAACCAGGACCUGUGUCGAAGCUUCAGGUUUCUUUAUUGUCCCAAGAAUAUCAAUGAGAAUAGUUCUCUAGGCAGCACACAACACAACAUUACACAACAUGUAAUCGAAACACAUAGAACACAACAAACAUAUCACAUCACACAACAGCAGCUGUGGCAGGCAGCAUCGCCUCUAAGGUGGUGACUGCUGUUCAUGGGACAUGCUUCAUGCAUGUUACAAGCUACAGUUGGAUUAGGCAAGAAGCGGCAGAAUGGGCAGACAUUUCCCUAGGACCUUCAUGUGCAGUGUUCACGUUCAAAUGCCUUUAUUACGGGCUUUGACCAUCCAACUAGAAAGACAAUAGACGCUAUGAACAACGCAAUAGAAUGGCAUAUUAUAUCCUCCGUGGAACAGAACAACAUGCUUCAUGCGUGUUAGAAGCUUCACGCUUCUUGAUUCUCCCUCCCAACAGCUCUUUGUUAGGCUACAUACACUCUAGGAUGGUGGCAGCCUUUAAUGGAAUACGCUUCAUGCAUGUUCCAUUCUGUCCUCUCGACAACGCUUCGUGGCAAAUCUGGCAAGAAGAAACAGAGUCGGCCCAUGUGUCUCAAUGACCUCCGUGCCCGAGCGGUGCUUUCGGACCAUUUUCUCCUCCCACAAGGCCAGCGUGGCAGCUUCCAAGAAAGAACGCAAGGAGAGCACGUCAUACGAGCCAAGAAGAAAUUGAAAGUCCCCAACCUCCCGCAUGAGAAACCAAACCAGGACCUGUGUCGAAGCUUCAGGUUUCUUUAUUGUCCCAAGAAUAUCAAUAAGAAUAGUUCUCUAGGCAGCACACAACACAACAUUCCACAACAUGUAAUCGAAACACAUAGAACACAACAAACAUAUCACAUCACACAACAGCAGCUGUGGCAGGCAGCAUCGCCUCUAAGGUGGUGACUGCUGUUCAUGGGACAUGCUUCAUGCAUGUUACAAGCUACAGUUGGAUUAGGCAAGAAGCAGCAGAAUGGGCAGACAUUUCCCUAGGACCUUCAUGUGGAGUGUUCACGUUCAAAUGCCUUUACUACGGGCUUUGACCAUCCAACUAGAAAGACAAUAGACGCUAUGAAGCAGGCAAUAGAAUGGCAUAUUAUAUCCUCCGUGGAACAGAACAACACGCUUCAUGCGUGUUAGAAGCUUCAGGCUUCUUGAUUCUCCCUCCCAACAGCUCUUUGUUAGGCUACAUACACUCUAGGAUGGUGGCAGCCUUUAAUGGAAUACGCUUCAUGCAUGUUCCAUUCUGUCCUCUCGACAACGCUUCGUGGCAAAUCUGGCAAGAAGAAACAGAGUCGGCCCAAGUGUCUCAAUGACCUCCGUGCCCGAGUGGUGCUUUCGGACCAUUUUCUCUUCCCACAAGGCCAGCGUGGCAGCUUCCAAGAAAGAACGCAAGGAGAGCACGUCAUACGAGCCAAGAAGAAAUUGAAAGUCCCCAACCUCCCGCAUGAGAAACCAAACCAGGGCCUGUGUCGAAGCUUCAGGCUUCUUUCUUGUCCCAAGAAUAUCAAUGAGAAUAGUUCUCUAGGCAGCACACAACACAACAUUACACAACAUGUAAUCGAAACACAUAGAACACAACAAACAUAUCACAUCACACAACAGCAGCUGUGGCAGGCAGCAUCGCCUCUAAGGUGGUGACUGCUGUUCAUGGGACAUGCUUCAUGCAUGUUACAAGCUACAGUUGGAUUAGGCAAGAAGCGGCAGAAUGGGCAGACAUUUCCCUAGGACCUUCAUGUGCAGUGUUCACGUUCAAAUGCCUUUAUUACGGGCUUUGACCAUCCAAUUAGAAAGACAAUAGACGCUAUGAAGAAGGCAAUAGAAUGGCAUAUUAUAUCCUCCGUGGAACAGAACAACACGCUUCAUGCGUGUUAGAAGCUUCAGGCUUCUUGAUUCUCCCUCCCAACAGCUCUUUGUUAGGCUACAUACACUCUAGGAUGGUGGCAGCCUUUAAUGGAAUACGCUUCAUGCAUGUUCCAUUCUGUCCUCUCGACAACGCUUCGUGGCAAAUCUGGCAAGAAGAAACAGAGUCGGCCCAAGUGUCUCAAUGACCUCCGUGCCCGAGUGGUGCUUUCGGACCAUUUUCUCCUCCCACAAGGCCAGCGUGGCAGCUUCCAAGAAAGAACGCAAGGAGAGCACGUCAUACGAGCCAAGAAGAAAUUGAAAGUCCCCAACCUCCCGCAUGAGAAACCAAACCAGGGCCUGUGUCGAAGCUUCAGGCUUCUUUCUUGUCCCAAGAAUAUCAAUGAGAAUAGUUCUCUAGGCAGCACACAACACAACAUUACACAACAUGUAAUCGAAACACAUAGAACACAACAAACAUAUCACAUCACACAACAGCAGCUGUGGCAGGCAGCAUCGCCUCUAAGGUGGUGACUGCUGUUCAUGGGACAUGCUUCAUGCAUGUUACAAGCUACAGUUGGAUUAGGCAAGAAGCAGCAGAAUGGGCAGACAUUUCCCUAGGACCUUCAUGUGCAGUGUUCACGUUCAAAUGCCUUUAUUACGGGCUUUGACCAUCCAACUAGAAAGACAAUAGACGCUAUGAAGAAGGCAAUAGAAUGGCAUAUUAUAUCCUCCGUGGAACAGAACAACACGCUUCAUGCGUGUUAGAAGCUUCAGGCUUCUUGAUUCUCCCUCCCAACAGCUCUUUGUUAGGCUACAUACACUCUAGGAUGGUGGCAGCCUUUAAUGGAAUACGCUUCAUGCAUGUUCCAUUCUGUCCUCUCGACAACGCUUCGUGGCAAAUCUGGCAAGAAGAAACAGAGUCGGCCCAAGUGUCUCAAUGACCUCCGUGCCCGAGUGGUGCUUUCGGACCAUUUUCUCCUCCCACAAGGCCAGCGUGGCAGCUUCCAAGAAAGAACGCAAGGAGAGCACGUCAUACGAGCCAAGAAGAAAUUGAAAGUCCCCAACCUCCCGCAUGAGAAACCAAACCAGGACCUGUGUCGAAGCUUCAGGUUUCUUUAUUGUCCCAAGAAUAUCAAUAAGAAUAGUUCUCUAGGCAGCACACUACACAACAUUCCACAACAUGUAAUCGAAACACAUAGAACACAACAAACAUAUCACAUCACACAACAGCAGCUGUGGCAGGCAGCAUCGCCUCUAAGGUGGUGACUGCUGUUCAUGGGACAUGCUUCAUGCAUGUUACAAGCUACAGUUGGAUUAGGCAAGAAGCAGCAGAAUGGGCAGACAUUUCCCUAGGACCUUCAUGUGCAGUGUUCACGUUCAAAUGCCUUUAUUACGGGCUUUGACCAUCCAACUAGAAAGACAAUAGACGCUAUGAAGAAGGCAAUAGAAUGGCAUAUUAUAUCCUCCGUGGAACAGAACAACACGCUUCAUGCGUGUUAGAAGCUUCAGGCUUCUUGAUUCUCCCUCCCAACAGCUCUUUGUUAGGCUACAUACACUCUAGGAUGGUGGCAGCCUUUAAUGGAAUACGCUUCAUGCAUGUUCCAUUCUGUCCUCUCGACAACGCUUCGUGGCAAAUCUGGCAAGAAGAAACAGAGUCGGCCCAAGUGUCUCAAUGACCUCCGUGCCCGAGUGGUGCUUUCGGACCAUUUUCUCCUCCCACAAGGCCAGCGUGGCAGCUUCCAAGAAAGAACGCAAGGAGAGCACGUCAUACGAGCCAAGAAGAAAUUGAAAGUCCCCAACCUCCCGCAUGAGAAACCAAACCAGGACCUGUGUCGAAGCUUCAGGUUUCUUUAUUGUCCCAAGAAUAUCAAUAAGAAUAGUUCUCUAGGCAGCACACUACACAACAUUCCACAACAUGUAAUCGAAACACAUAGAACACAACAAACAUAUCACAUCACACAACAGCAGCUGUGGCAGGCAGCAUCGCCUCUAAGGUGGUGACUGCUGUUCAUGUGACAUGCUUCAUGCAUGUUACAAGCUACAGUUGGAUUAGGCAAGAAGCAGCAGAAUGGGCAGACAUUUCCCUAGGACCUUCAUGUGGAGUGUUCACGUUCAAAUGCCUUUACUACGGGCUUUGACCAUCCAACUAGAAAGACAAUAGACGCUAUGAAGAAGGCAAUAGAAUGGCAUAUUAUAUCCUCCGUGGAACAGAACAACACGCUUCAUGCGUGUUAGAAGCUUCAGGCUUCUUGAUUCUCCCUCCCAACAGCUCUUUGUUAGGCUACAUACACUCUAGGAUGGUGGCAGCCUUUAAUGGAAUACGCUUCAUGCAUGUUCCAUUCUGUCCUCUCGACAACGCUUCGUGGCAAAUCUGGCAAGAAGAAACAGAGUCAGCCCAAGUGUCUCAAUGACCUCCGUGCCCGAGUGGUGCUUUCGGACCAUUUUCUCCUCCCACAAGGCCAGCGUGGCAGGUAAGGCUCAGACUGCACCAAGAAAAAGAACUCUCCAGGUAUAGGAGAUAACCUGUCUUCCUUGGAGGCCUGUCAGCAGAGCCUUAAAGACCCUAGUUCUCAGCCUAGCUUUGAAAGAUAUUUUGUUCUGAUGUUCUCUACUUUUUAAUUGUAAUUUUUAUCUACUAUUGAUUAGUUUUUGAGUUCAACAUUUUUAAUUUUUUUAAAAAAAUGUAAACCGCCCUGAGCCACCUUUGGAAGGGCGGCAUAUAAAUCCAAUGAAUAUAUUAAUCACCUCUCGGGGGGAGGGGGGAUCCCUAGCUGAAUCACUGCAUUUAGUGAUGAGGUUUUUCAUGAGAAGACUGAAGAAUGUAUUCCUAAAAUGUCUAUUCGAUAUAUAUUAUACAUUAAUAGUCACAAGGUCAUAUAAACAUGAGACAAGCAUGAAGAAUCCCCCCCCCCCGAAAUCUAUUAGGUACUCCUUGUGCAAAAUGUCCUAUUGCCCUCAGUUCAGAAUGAAUGACACGGCCUGUUCUCUUCCAACAGCUUCCAAGAAAGAACGCAAGGAGAGCACGUCAUACGAGCCAAGAAGAAAUUGAAAGUCCCCAACCUCCCGCAUGAGAAACCAAACCAGGACCUGUGUCGAAGCUUCAGGUUUCUUUAUUGUCCCAAGAAUAUCAAUAAGAAUAGUUCUCUAGGCAGCACACUACACAAUAUUCCACAACAUGUAAUCGAAACACAUAGAACACAACAAACAUAUCACAUCACACAACAGCAGCUGUGGCAGGCAGCAUCGCCUCUAAGGUGGUGACUGCUGUUCAUGGGACAUGCUUCAUGCAUGUUACAAGCUACAGUUGGAUUAGGCAAGAAGCAGCAGAAUGGGCAGACAUUUCCCUAGGACCUUCAUGUGCAGUGUUCACGUUCAAAUGCCUUUACUACGGGCUUUGACCAUCCAACUAGAAAGACAAUAGACGCUAUGAAGAAGGCAAUAGAAUGGCAUAUUAUAUCCUCCGUGGAACAGAACAACACGCUUCAUGCGUGUUAGAAGCUUCACUCUUCUUGAUUCUCCCUCCCAACAGCUCUUUGUUAGGCUACAUACACUCUAGGAUGGUGGCAGCCUUUAAUGGAAUACGCUUCAUGCAUGUUCCAUUCUGUCCUCUCGACAACGCUUCGUGGCAAAUCUGGCAAGAAGAAACAGAGUCGGCCCAAGUGUCCCAAUGACCUCCGUGCCCGAGUGGUGCUUUCGGACCAUUUUCUCCUCCCACAAGGCCAGCGUGGCAGGUAAGGCUCAGACUGCACCAAGAAAAAGAACUCUCCAGGUAUAGGAGAUAACCUGUCUUCCUUGGAGGCCUGUCAGCAGAGCCUUAAAGACCCUAGUUCUCAGCCUAGCUUUGAAAGAUAUUUUGUUCUGAUGUUCUCUACUUUUUAAUUGUAAUUUUUAUCUACUAUUGAUUAGUUUUUGAGUUCAACAUUUUUAAUUUUUUUAAAAAAAUGUAAACCGCCCUGAGCCACCUUUGGAAGGGCGGCAUAUAAAUCCAAUGAAUAUAUUAAUCACCUCUCGGGGGGAGGGGGGAUCCCUAGCUGAAUCACUGCAUUUAGUGAUGAGGUUUUUCAUGAGAAGACUGAAGAAUGUAUUCCUAAAAUGUCUAUUCGAUAUAUAUUAUACAUUAAUAGUCACAAGGUCAUAUAAACAUGAGACAAGCAUGAAGAAUCCCCCCCCCCGAAAUCUAUUAGGUACUCCUUGUGCAAAAUGUCCUAUUGCCCUCAGUUCAGAAUGAAUGACACGGCCUGUUCUCUUCCAACAGCUUCCAAGAAAGAACGCAAGGAGAGCACGUCAUACGAGCCAAGAAGAAAUUGAAAGUCCCCAACCUCCCGCAUGAGAAACCAAACCAGGACCUGUGUCGAAGCUUCAGGUUUCUUUAUUGUCCCAAGAAUAUCAAUAAGAAUAGUUCUCUAGGCAGCACACUACACAACAUUCCACAACAUGUAAUCGAAACACAUAGAACACAACAAACAUAUCACAUCACACAACAGCAGCUGUGGCAGGCAGCAUCGCCUCUAAGGUGGUGACUGCUGUUCAUGUGACAUGCUUCAUGCAUGUUACAAGCUACAGUUGGAUUAGGCAAGAAGCAGCAGAAUGGGCAGACAUUUCCCUAGGACCUUCAUGUGGAGUGUUCACGUUCAAAUGCCUUUACUACGGGCUUUGACCAUCCAACUAGAAAGACAAUAGACGCUAUGAAGAAGGCAAUAGAAUGGCAUAUUAUAUCCUCCGUGGAACAGAACAACACGCUUCAUGCGUGUUAGAAGCUUCAGGCUUCUUGAUUCUCCCUCUCAACAGCUCUUUGUUAGGCUACAUACACUCUAGGAUGGUGGCAGCCUUUAAUGGAAUACGCUUCAUGCAUGUUCCAUUCUGUCCUCUCGACAACGCUUCGUGGCAAAUCUGGCAAGAAGAAACAGAGUCGGCCCAAGUGUCUCAAUGACCUCCGUGCCCGAGUGGUGCUUUCGGACCAUUUUCUCCUCCCACAAGGCCAGCGUGGCAGCUUCCAAGAAAGAACGCAAGGAGAGCACGUCAUACGAGCCAAGAAGAAAUUGAAAGUCCCCAACCUCCCGCAUGAGAAACCAAACCAGGACCUGUGUCGAAGCUUCAGGUUUCUUUAUUGUCCCAAGAAUAUCAAUAAGAAUAGUUCUCUAGGCAGCACACUACACAAUAUUCCACAACAUGUAAUCGAAACACAUAGAACACAACAAACAUAUCACAUCACACAACAGCAGCUGUGGCAGGCAGCAUCGCCUCUAAGGUGGUGACUGCUGUUCAUGGGACAUGCUUCAUGCAUGUUACAAGCUACAGUUGGAUUAGGCAAGAAGCAGCAGAAUGGGCAGACAUUUCCCUAGGACCUUCAUGUGCAGUGUUCACGUUCAAAUGCCUUUACUACGGGCUUUGACCAUCCAACUAGAAAGACAAUAGACGCUAUGAAGAAGGCAAUAGAAUGGCAUAUUAUAUCCUCCGUGGAACAGAACAACACGCUUCAUGCGUGUUAGAAGCUUCAGGCUUCUUGAUUCUCCCUCCCAACAGCUCUUUGUUAGGCUACAUACACUCUAGGAUGGUGGCAGCCUUUAAUGGAAUACGCUUCAUGCAUGUUCCAUUCUGUCCUCUCGACAACGCUUCGUGGCAAAUCUGGCAAGAAGAAACAGAGUCGGCCCAAGUGUCCCAAUGACCUCCGUGCCCGAGUGGUGCUUUCGGACCAUUUUCUCCUCCCACAAGGCCAGCGUGGCAGGUAAGGCUCAGACUGCACCAAGAAAAAGAACUCUCCAGGUAUAGGAGAUAACCUGUCUUCCUUGGAGGCCUGUCAGCAGAGCCUUAAAGACCCUAGUUCUCAGCCUAGCUUUGAAAGAUAUUUUGUUCUGAUGUUCUCUACUUUUUAAUUGUAAUUUUUAUCUACUAUUGAUUAGUUUUUGAGUUCAACAUUUUUAAUUUUUUUAAAAAAAUGUAAACCGCCCUGAGCCACCUUUGGAAGGGCGGCAUAUAAAUCCAAUGAAUAUAUUAAUCACCUCUCGGGGGGAGGGGGGAUCCCUAGCUGAAUCACUGCAUUUAGUGAUGAGGUUUUUCAUGAGAAGACUGAAGAAUGUAUUCCUAAAAUGUCUAUUCGAUAUAUAUUAUACAUUAAUAGUCACAAGGUCAUAUAAACAUGAGACAAGCAUGAAGAAUCCCCCCCCCCGAAAUCUAUUAGGUACUCCUUGUGCAAAAUGUCCUAUUGCCCUCAGUUCAGAAUGAAUGACACGGCCUGUUCUCUUCCAACAGCUUCCAAGAAAGAACGCAAGGAGAGCACGUCAUACGAGCCAAGAAGAAAUUGAAAGUCCCCAACCUCCCGCAUGAGAAACCAAACCAGGACCUGUGUCGAAGCUUCAGGUUUCUUUAUUGUCCCAAGAAUAUCAAUAAGAAUAGUUCUCUAGGCAGCACACUACACAAUAUUCCACAACAUGUAAUCGAAACACAUAGAACACAACAAACAUAUCACAUCACACAACAGCAGCUGUGGCAGGCAGCAUCGCCUCUAAGGUGGUGACUGCUGUUCAUGGGACAUGCUUCAUGCAUGUUACAAGCUACAGUUGGAUUAGGCAAGAAGCAGCAGAAUGGGCAGACAUUUCCCUAGGACCUUCAUGUGCAGUGUUCACGUUCAAAUGCCUUUACUACGGGCUUUGACCAUCCAACUAGAAAGACAAUAGACGCUAUGAAGAAGGCAAUAGAAUGGCAUAUUAUAUCCUCCGUGGAACAGAACAACACGCUUCAUGCGUGUUAGAAGCUUCACUCUUCUUGAUUCUCCCUCCCAACAGCUCUUUGUUAGGCUACAUACACUCUAGGAUGGUGGCAGCCUUUAAUGGAAUACGCUUCAUGCAUGUUCCAUUCUGUCCUCUCGACAACGCUUCGUGGCAAAUCUGGCAAGAAGAAACAGAGUCGGCCCAAGUGUCCCAAUGACCUCCGUGCCCGAGUGGUGCUUUCGGACCAUUUUCUCCUCCCACAAGGCCAGCGUGGCAGGUAAGGCUCAGACUGCACCAAGAAAAAGAACUCUCCAGGUAUAGGAGAUAACCUGUCUUCCUUGGAGGCCUGUCAGCAGAGCCUUAAAGACCCUAGUUCUCAGCCUAGCUUUGAAAGAUAUUUUGUUCUGAUGUUCUCUACUUUUUAAUUGUAAUUUUUAUCUACUAUUGAUUAGUUUUUGAGUUCAACAUUUUUAAUUUUUUUAAAAAAAUGUAAACCGCCCUGAGCCACCUUUGGAAGGGCGGCAUAUAAAUCCAAUGAAUAUAUUAAUCACCUCUCGGGGGGAGGGGGGAUCCCUAGCUGAAUCACUGCAUUUAGUGAUGAGGUUUUUCAUGAGAAGACUGAAGAAUGUAUUCCUAAAAUGUCUAUUCGAUAUAUAUUAUACAUUAAUAGUCACAAGGUCAUAUAAACAUGAGACAAGCAUGAAGAAUCCCCCCCCCCCGAAAUCUAUUAGGUACUCCUUGUGCAAAAUGUCCUAUUGCCCUCAGUUCAGAAUGAAUGACACGGCCUGUUCUCUUCCAACAGCUUCCAAGAAAGAACGCAAGGAGAGCACGUCAUACGAGCCAAGAAGAAAUUGAAAGUCCCCAACCUCCCGCAUGAGAAACCAAACCAGGACCUGUGUCGAAGCUUCAGGUUUCUUUAUUGUCCCAAGAAUAUCAAUAAGAAUAGUUCUCUAGGCAGCACACUACACAACAUUCCACAACAUGUAAUCGAAACACAUAGAACACAACAAACAUAUCACAUCACACAACAGCAGCUGUGGCAGGCAGCAUCGCCUCUAAGGUGGUGACUGCUGUUCAUGUGACAUGCUUCAUGCAUGUUACAAGCUACAGUUGGAUUAGGCAAGAAGCAGCAGAAUGGGCAGACAUUUCCCUAGGACCUUCAUGUGGAGUGUUCACGUUCAAAUGCCUUUACUACGGGCUUUGACCAUCCAACUAGAAAGACAAUAGACGCUAUGAAGCAGGCAAUAGAAUGGCAUAUUAUAUCCUCCGUGGAACAGAACAACACGCUUCAUGCGUGUUAGAAGCUUCAGGCUUCUUGAUUCUCCCUCUCAACAGCUCUUUGUUAGGCUACAUACACUCUAGGAUGGUGGCAGCCUUUAAUGGAAUACGCUUCAUGCAUGUUCCAUUCUGUCCUCUCGACAACGCUUCGUGGCAAAUCUGGCAAGAAGAAACAGAGUCGGCCCAAGUGUCUCAAUGACCUCCGUGCCCGAGUGGUGCUUUCGGACCAUUUUCUCCUCCCACAAGGCCAGCGUGGCAGCUUCCAAGAAAGAACGCAAGGAGAGCACGUCAUACGAGCCAAGAAGAAAUUGAAAGUCCCCAACCUCCCGCAUGAGAAACCAAACCAGGACCUGUGUCGAAGCUUCAGGUUUCUUUAUUGUCCCAAGAAUAUCAAUAAGAAUAGUUCUCUAGGCAGCACACUACACAAUAUUCCACAACAUGUAAUCGAAACACAUAGAACACAACAAACAUAUCACAUCACACAACAGCAGCUGUGGCAGGCAGCAUCGCCUCUAAGGUGGUGACUGCUGUUCAUGGGACAUGCUUCAUGCAUGUUACAAGCUACAGUUGGAUUAGGCAAGAAGCAGCAGAAUGGGCAGACAUUUCCCUAGGACCUUCAUGUGCAGUGUUCACGUUCAAAUGCCUUUACUACGGGCUUUGACCAUCCAACUAGAAAGACAAUAGACGCUAUGAAGAAGGCAAUAGAAUGGCAUAUUAUAUCCUCCGUGGAACAGAACAACACGCUUCAUGCGUGUUAGAAGCUUCAGGCUUCUUGAUUCUCCCUCCCAACAGCUCUUUGUUAGGCUACAUACACUCUAGGAUGGUGGCAGCCUUUAAUGGAAUACGCUUCAUGCAUGUUCCAUUCUGUCCUCUCGACAACGCUUCGUGGCAAAUCUGGCAAGAAGAAACAGAGUCGGCCCAAGUGUCCCAAUGACCUCCGUGCCCGAGUGGUGCUUUCGGACCAUUUUCUCCUCCCACAAGGCCAGCGUGGCAGGUAAGGCUCAGACUGCACCAAGAAAAAGAACUCUCCAGGUAUAGGAGAUAACCUGUCUUCCUUGGAGGCCUGUCAGCAGAGCCUUAAAGACCCUAGUUCUCAGCCUAGCUUUGAAAGAUAUUUUGUUCUGAUGUUCUCUACUUUUUAAUUGUA